AAUAGAUACCCCGGUAGUCCUGGCAGUAAACGGUGCACGUUUGGUGUGGGAGGAUUCGACCCCUUCCGUGCCGGAGCUAACGCGUUAAACGUGCCGCCUGGGGAGUACGGUCGCAAGAUUAAAACUCAAAGAAAUUGACGGGGGCCCGCACAAGCGGUGGAGUAUGUGGCUUAAUUCGAUGCAACGCGAAGAACCUUACCUGGCCUUGACAUGGUGGGAUUAGGCGGAUGAAAGUCUGCCGAUUGCCCGCAAGGGUGUAACCAUCACAGGUGCUGCAUGGCUGUCGUCAGCUCGUGUCGUGAGAUGUUGGGUUAAGUCCCGCAACGAGCGCAACCCUUGUGAACUGUUGCCACCCCUCUUUCGGGAGGCGCACUCUGUUCAGACUGCCCUGUUAAACGGGGAGAAGGUGAGGAUGACGUCAAGUCAGUAUGGCCCUUAGGCCAGGGCUGCACACGUACUACAAUGCCCAGUACAGAAUGAACCGAUACCGCGAGGUGGAGGAAAUCUAUAAAACUGGGCCCAGUUCGGAUUGGAGG
rnacentral:rRNA from 1 species